GCAAGAGGUGAGCUCAGAUAUCAGAUCCAUCACUAGUCAACAAGCUAUAGAAGAAAAUGUCAAGAAAUAAAUGGAAAAUUAACAACAGCAACAGGAAAAUGGUUUUCACAGCUUCUGCACAGAUAGAACAGAACCACAUCUUUGUUGCAUCAGGAAAAGCUGAACUGUCAAGAAGAUAACCACAUUUUUACCUGUCCUACCAAGAUUUGGAGCAGAUCAAUCCAUAAGUGACAGAGAAGAGGAGAAAACAAAGGGGACUCCAAUCUGCUGAUGAGAACCGAGAAGAGAGCAGCAGAGUAGCCACUAAGCCUGUCCUGCCCGCUUGUCAUCUAGAGUAAAAAAAUAAAGCACAUUUUGUAGAUGAGA